CGUGAGGAACCUGCCUUUCAGAGGGGGGACAACAGCUGGAAACGGCUGCUAAUACCGCAUAACACAUAGGUGUCGCAUGGCAUUUAUGUCAAAGAUUUAUCGCUGAGAGAUGGCCUCGCGUCUGAUUAGCUAGUUGGUAGGGUAACGGCCUACCAAGGCGACGAUCAGUAGCCGGACUGAGAGGUUGGCCGGCCACAUUGGGACUGAGAUACGGCCCAGACUCCUACGGGAGGCAGCAG
rnacentral:rRNA from 1 species